GAACUGAGUUAGUCGUCGCCCAGAUCAGACUCGGAAAACAUGGCUGGCAUUUGUCCCCGGGAGGCUGUUCGGGUGAAAGUGAAGAAAUGCGAACCCAGUGCACGACCGGAGUGGCGGAAGUUUUCAGUGGACCCGCAGAUCACAACGCUGGAGGUUCUGUACUCCCUGCUGGCCAAGGCCUUCGACGUGAAGUCGGACUUCUCCAUUAAGUACAAGGCCUUUGAUCCGGCGGGCAACGAGAUCUACUUAGCCGUGCGCUCCGACUGGGACCUGGAUGCCGCCUUUCUGCGGAUUCACAACAUUUCUAUUCAGACGGCCUCAGAACCUUGCCUCACCCUGCAGAUCGAUGUGAAGCCGUUUACGGUGGUCAGGGAGUGUGAGACAGAGGCCUCUCCGGGUAGAUCCACCUCGGGAGCGCCAACUCCCGCAACACCUGCACCUCUUGUACCCGCCCGCGAGUUAAUGUCACCACUGCAGUCCUUAGGAGUCUCCCAGAAAUAUGUGCAACACAUGCAGACCAAACUGGGCAGCUCCAUUCUGAAUCAGAUGGAGAAAACCUUCUCCAUAGUGCAGAAAGCGUUCAACUUGUCCGAGGAGCAUAUGGCCAACCUACCGCCACGUCCGCCCAUGUGCGACAGCGAGUUCCGACUUUUUCUGGACGCACUGGGUCAGAUUCAACGUAAGGACGAGCUGCAUAGGGUAAUCUUCCUAGGAGGCAUUGACCCGAGUUUGCGUCGCGUUGUGUGGAAACAUUUGCUUAAUGUUUAUCCCGGUGGCGCUAACGGACUGGCCCUUGAUGGACACCAGCGCAUGGAGUUCAUGCGCCGCAAGUCCGAGCAGUACUGUCGUCUGAGAGACACAUGGAAAGCCGCCGUGAAGCGAGGCAGUGUGGCUGGCGAACUGGCUUACGUAACCAGCAUGGUAAAGAAGGAUGUUCUGCGCACGGACCGCCUGCAUCCAUUUUAUGCUGGCAGCGACGACAAUCAGAACAUCGCUGCGCUUUUUAAUAUCCUCACCACAUAUGCACUGAACCAUCCGUCGGUCUCGUAUUGUCAAGGCAUGUCGGACAUUGCUUCCCCGCUACUGGUUACCAUGAACGACGAGGCACAGGCCUACAUAUGCUUUUGUGCCAUAAUGGCAAGAAUGCGUGGAAACUUCAUGCUGGAUGGAAUUGCAAUGACUCAGAAAUUUGCUCACCUUACGGAGGCGCUAAGUUUUUACGAUCCGGAGUUCUGGGAGUACCUCAAAUCGCAGCAGGCGGACGACCUACUUUUCUGUUACCGUUGGCUACUCCUGGAGUUAAAGCGAGAAUUUCCCUUUGAGGAUGCCCUUCGCAUGCUGGAGGUGCAGUGGAGCUCACUUCGCUAUCGAUGUGAUGGGGAGAAGGAGCUCCCGCUCUUUGAAAAGGAAUUUGUACCCAUUUCUGAUGCCUCAGUGCCCAAUAGCGCCAGCACCUUUUCCAGCUCUUACAGCGCUACACCGACCAGUCCUUCCUAUCUGCUGACCAAACCGCGCGAGAGCCCCUACACAAAGGUUUGCGCUUUGCGCCGUCAGAGCUCUUCAGCCUCUUUGAGCUCACUGAGUUCUUCCGUGGGAACCAGUCAUGCAUUGGACAAUACAAAACGGCUGAAUCACAGCCUGGACGACAAUAUGUCACGUCUUGCGACAGCCGCAGCACGCCGGCACAGACGCACUUCGGCCAAGGUUCAUCAAAGUCUGGACGAGUCAAAAAUGCUGGCGCUGAUCGAGGGCGCCUUGGAUAAUAAGAAUGUCCAGUCGGAGCAGGACUUUUCCGCCGGCGAGGAAACCGAAGAUGAUGAUGUAUUCGAUAGGAAGGAGUCGCCAAGCUUUUUGGAGACAAAUCCGUUUAAGGAUGAUGCUCAGAGAGCACCAGAAAGUGAAACCACACCUUCUGUUUCACCAGGACGAGCCUUUCUGUGUAGUUCGUCUUCCUCGAAUAUGGACGAGUUCCCCAGUGACAGAAAGGCUAAGCUGCAGCAUAAAAACAUUUUGACCGUGAGCAAUAUCAUCGCCAAACAACUUGCUACUAAUGCUAGUCAAGUGAGUGAAAGUAUGAAGCGAGUAAGCACCACUAGCGGUGGUCAUUUUAAGGAUCUCAAGGAAAAGCUGGCGGCAAGCAGUCGUAUCGGUAUGUCUUUUGAUGGUGAAGGGGAAGAUGAUGGAGAUCGGAAGAUACCGCCAAAGCUUGUAAAAAACUUCAAUGAAUUCCUAAAUUUUGCAACUAUUAAUAAGAAUCGUAUAUCCGAUCGAUUUGCCACUCAGCCGCAACAGACAGCAGGUCCAACUUCGGUUACUAAGCCCUUGGUACAGCUAACUAAGAGUGGGAUGGGCAGUUCCCUGGACGAAUCUGAUUCAUCCUCUCUUCCGGAAACCAGUUGGAGUGCAUCCACGGCGGCGACUGCCAUUCAGCAGGCACAGGAACUGAGCAGCUACAAUCUACAGCUAGAUUUGGAGACCAAUCACCCAUGCGACCCAGACGAUUCAAUCACACCGGAUCAAGAUCAGGACCCAGACCAGGAGUACUAUCCCAUGACGACGGCCAUAACGCGUGAGCUGCGCCUAGAGGCCGAGAAUCUAGAUCGACAAGUUUUUGGGCUGCCUUUUACGGAGAGCGAGAAACGGGAUGACAUCGAGUACGAGAAGCUUGACAAGGACGCCUUGGACUUAGUGGAGGAUCUCAAGGAGAACGAGAUCAUUACCUGUCCCGAUGUCAGUGAGCUACAUAUGCGACGUCGACAGCGACUGGCGGCUAAGAGUAACAGCGUCCAGCAAAACGAGUCGCAUACCUUUAAUCCAUUCAUCGACGAAAGCCAACUUUUAGAUGGACACAGUCCAUUGGGAAUGCGCAACAGCAACAGUUUGCCGGAGGUCAUUCUGCCUAUUUCCACUGAGCCUAGUCUAGUGGAGGUAUCGCCUUUGGUGGAGAUCGCUACGAAUGCGGAUGACGAGAGCGCCUAUACGCGAUCCCCCCAGCGUUCAAACCAUCUUAAUGGAGUCAGUGGACUGAACCCCACUGCGGCUGCAUUGCCUCCACCUACAGAAUUCGGUGGUGGUAAUGCAUUCCUCAUGUUUCUCUGUCUCACACUUUUACUACAGCACCGAAACACGAUCAUGAAGGCAGGCAUGGACUACAACGAGAUUGCCAUGCACUUUGAUAAAAUGGUGAGGAAACACGACGUCACUCGAGUUCUCAAUCAGGCCAGACGAAUGUUCGUGGACUACCUCAAGGCACAAAGCAGCCCACAGCGCCAGAGAUCGCCUAGCGGCCCUGUUUCCACUGGUUCUACGGGUGCGAGCCUGACUUCAUCAAUGCCGGCUUAACGGGCUUGUAAUCCUACUUGCUUCCAUGAAACCUUAGUGUUCUCACAGUUUGGCAACUGCUUAAAAACGUUGGCUCCAAGGUAACUCUUUGCCUUCAAUGCACACACUUGAUCCUUUAAAUUUCAACAUUUAAUGAAAGUGCAGCACUUGAUGUAACCGAGAACUCAAAGUCGAUUGCUCAGAUUUGUCUUGAUAAAGGUGGAUGGCAGAAUGUAAACCAAAGUCUUCUUUUUUGUACGUAUACGGAUUUUGUACUUUCUUAUUUUGUAUUAAGGUUUUAUUUUUUAUUUAUUUAUAUAUUUAUCUGCACUUAUGCCAAACGAUCAAAUGAAAACUGUUUGGCUAAAAAUUGCUGUAUUUCUCUAGUCUGCUUAUGCAUUCCAUGCUGUUGUAAAAAUUAUAUUUUAGAUUUAAAAUCGCGCCUAAAUACUAAUUUAUGCAAAAAAAUUCACGGAUCUGUAACCCAAAUAACCAUAAUCUUAUUAUCUCAAAGGUUCUGUAUCUUAUCUUACAAAUUUCUCAACGUACUCUGAAUACAAAAUAAUUUUGUAAAUUAAAAUUGAAUCCAAAAAUUCGAAGUAAAGUUAACGAAUAUGCUAUGUAAA
rnacentral:misc_RNA from 1 species